ensembl:antisense 9530026P05Rik RIKEN cDNA 9530026P05 gene
GAGUAAAGACUGUUUACCAACGAAAUACACAAGCAGCGGUAUCUAAGAUCCAGGACUUGGGGGUCCCUAACUUUAAAUAGUGGGGUGCACUGAUUGUUUGGGAUCCGCCUCAAGACUUCAGCCUAGGUCUACCUAGGUGAUACCUCUCAAAGACUGGAGCCUUUCUUGUGUCCAGGCCCAGGUUUGAGGCCGCGAUGACUCAACGCAGCAUCCCCUCCCCUUGCUAAACCGCGGUCUCCGCCUACCCCCAAUCAAUCUCAAGGAAGCACUUUGGGCGCCAGGAUUCCAAGCACUUAGCUGGUGGGCAAAGGGGCUCAACCCCUUCCCCACAUCCCACCUUCCCUCCUCCCAGUCUUCGGGAUUGCGGAGCUCCUGCCGGGAUCCAAGAGCAGGCUCUUGGAGGUCGAAGAAGGAUAUAACCUCCAGACCUGGAAUUUAAGACGCAAGAACCAGCCAGCAAAAGUGGCAGACGAGCAUGCGAAUGAAGAUGUAGAAGUCUUAGCUCCUUCAAUGCUAUGUCUGCCAGGAUGCUGCCACACUCCCUUCUUGAUGAUAAUGGACUGAACCUCUGAACCUGGACAAGAAACUUCAGCAUUACUUCUGCAGAUUCACAAAGGAGUCCACGUUCCAAGAUGAGAGAAAUACCAGAAGCCGAUGGCUAUUCUAUUUGACUGAAUGAAAAGAAAAGGAAGGCACUUCCUGUCAAUCCUGCUUUGGAUUCCUAAACAGUUUAAGAAGCAUCAUUGAUCUGAUCAUUGGCACUGAGGAGGAAAUGCCCAUCUGCAGAAGACAUGCAGGGCUCAACCCAGCUUGACAUGGGUACUAUCCUUCUAUAGCACAGAAAUGGAAACUUCAGCCAGAAGAGAGGAAUUCAGUGACUCCAUGCCAACAGAAACAGAGCUCUGCAUUUGUUUCCUGAGCCUACUUGCACUUGGAAGGUUUCUUUCCUCACAAGAAACAUGUGUUACAGGAUAUAAAAGUGGCUUUCAGUUUGGGGUUAGAACCCGAAACAGAAAGACAAUGGAGAAAAAUUUCAGCUCAGCCUUUCUAGAUUGGAAAUGAUGCAUGAAUGUUGUUGUUUCUCCAAGACUUCAGCACAGGUAUAACAUGGUGCUAAUUUAAUCACCCGGUGAAUCACCUUUUCUCUGUGAGAUGUUAACACUGAUGUAAGAUGUUUCCAUGUGAGGAACGGGAAAGACUUGAGACACAGAAAAGAUUCAAGGAUUGGUAAAUAGAAUAAUGUGGUCUGUACCCCACUAAUUUUUCUUGCCAUCCAUGAGAGGUCCUAUGGGCUGUAGCAAUGCAUCAUUUAGAUAGCCCCUUCAGAUGGUUCAUGGAAAACUAACAAAAAUUGAUGUUGUUAUCUGAGCUUUUCUUGUGUGAUUUGUCUAACUCUUUACAUUCAUUAUGGGUUUUGCCCUUCUUUAAUAAAAUGGCCUGAUAUUGCCUUC